UACGAAGGGGGCUAGCGUUGCUCGGAAUUACUAGGCGUAAAGCGCACGUAGGCGGAUCUUUAAGUCAGGGGUGAAAUCCUGGAGCUCAACUCCAGAACUGCCUUUGAUACUGAGGACCUUGAGUUCGGGAGAGGUGAGUGGAACUGCGAGUGUAGAGGUGAAAUUCGUAGAUAUUCGCAAGAACACCAGUGGCGAAGGCGACUCACUGGACACGUAUUGACGCUGAGGUGCGAAAGCGUGGGGAGCAAACAGG
rnacentral:rRNA from 1 species